CAGCAGAGGUGAAAUUCAUGAAGAACAGACACUGAAUCAGAGAUGCGAAGCGAAGACGAUGAGGAUCGAAGCGGCCGUGAGGCAAACGGCGAUUGAUACCGUAUAGAAUAUCAGAGUUCUUGAGAAAGAGAGAGAAAAAGUAUUUCUUAGAGAUUAAGAAAACUAUGAUUUUUACAUUGAUCAAGUAGAAUAAAACAAUUACAUAUAUAUAUAGCCUUUUGGCUAUUCACUCUUAACUAUCUCACACACUAAUUACAUGUGAAACAAACUUAUAUCAAACUAAUAAAAUCAACUCUAGUUAUAAUAUGACAUCUUCAUCUUUACUUUUGUGUUUCUAAGCAAAAGUUCAGGAGGAGCCAUUUUCAAUAAUAACAAAAACGAUUGUUAGCUCUAGAAGUAGUAAAAAAGUUGUUGAAAUUUCUCACCGUUAGCAAUGAUGACGCUAGAGAACACAACGUCUUUGAAGAUACCGAUGGUACGGAAAGAAAUAUGCUAGCUAACUAGGUUGUAUAAUGCGGAAAACAACUUUUUUGGUUGUUGUUGAGAAUUUUCGAUUUCUAGGUACUGGAUAUGUUCACAUUUUUUGGUUGUUUGUUACUCAAUAUUUCGGUUGAUUGCUACCAAAUACUAGGAGUGAUGAUGAACUUGCAAUAUUCGGCAAAAAGCAACCAAAUAUUUUGAAGAUUACCGAUUGGUGCCUAUUGCAUCGUUACAUAUAGCAUGGGGCAUCCUCGAUAAUAAUUUCUUGUUAGAGAAAACAUAUCUUUUCAUAUUGAAUUUUAACAAAUUGUGGGAUCGUAAUACAACCAUAUAGAGGAUCGUUAAGGGAAUUAAGUACCCAUACAAGUCUAAUGACGUUUCCACAAAGCAAAGCACUACUUCAUCCAGAUUCAUGCGUUAUGUAUUCCCACUGAGAUAAAUGUUUUUUUUUUUCAUGCUCUUUCUAGCCAUGACCUUUGUAAUUUUGUAUACACGUAAAAUGCUGCAUGAGAGAGAGAGAGAGAGAGAGAGAGAGAGAGAGAGAGAGAGAGAGAGAGAGAGAGAGAGAGAGAGAGAUCAUCAGUUUCAAGUGAUUUUUGUUUGUUUUUUACCUAUACCAAAUGUGACAUAUCAAAUAAUAUGCAAGGACAGAAAACCAACAGCCAAGCCUAAAAUUAUAGUAUCACACAUCCCAUAAAAAAUCCAAAUAAAUGGAUCAUAAAAAAUAAAACAAAAUAAAAAGACAUGGAAAGAAAGAGAGGGAAUGCUUUUAUAAAAGUAUGUAGCAUUGACUAACAUAAAAUAUAAAUAAUAAAAUUAAAAUUUUAAAAUUUAACAGUUGUAUAAAUUAAACUUAACGAUCAAUACUUAUAGUAACAUUGACUGAUACAUAUCAUUAAAUGGGGAAUGAGAGAGCGUAAUGUUCAAUGAAUUGUGUUAGUAUGCUCGUAAUAUGGGAUGGUCCGUAACAUAUUAUAUAAGUGCA
rnacentral:lncRNA from 1 species